UACAGAGGGUGCAAUCGUUAAUCGGAAUUACUGGGCGUAAAGCGCACGCAGGCGGUCAUGUAAGUCGGGUGUGAAAUCCCCGGGCUCAACCUGGGAACUGCAUUCGAGACUGCAUGGCUAGAGUACGGUAGAGGAGGGCGGAAUUCCCGGUGUAGCGGUGAAAUGCGUAGAUAUCGGGAGGAACAUCAGUGGCGAAGGCGGCCCUCUGGACCAGUACUGACGCUCAGGUGCGAAAGCGUGGUGAGAAAACAGG
rnacentral:rRNA from 1 species